GACGGAGAGAGCUAGUGUUACUCAAAUUAACUGGGCGUAAAGGGCGCGUAGGCGGCUUGGCAAGUCAAAGGUGAAAUCCCUCGGCUCAACUGAGGAACUGCCUUUGAAACUGCCUGGCUUGAGGCCGGGAGGGGGUAGCGGAAUUCCUAGUGUAGGAGUGAAAUCCGUAGAUAUUAGGAGGAACACCGGUGGCGAAGGCGGCUACCUGGACCGGUUCUAACGCUGAUGCGCGAAAGCGUGGGGAGCAAACAGG
rnacentral:rRNA from 1 species